ensembl:rRNA 5S_rRNA 5S ribosomal RNA
AUGUGUGUCAAUCCUACCCUGAAUGCAUCCUGCCUCCUCAGAUCUCUGAAGCUAAAGCCGGAUCGGUCCAGUUAGAACUUGUGUGAGAGAAAACAGAAACACAAAUC